rnacentral:rRNA from 1 species
AGAAUCAACGCUGGCGGCGUGCCUAACACAUGCAAGUCGAACGAGAAAGUGGAGCAAUCCAUGAGUAAAGUGGCGCACGGGUGAGUAACACGUGACUAACCUACCCUUGAGUGGGGAAUAACUUCGGGAAACCGAGGCUAAUACCGCAUAACACCUACGGGUCAAAGGAGCAAUUCGCUUAAGGAGGGGGUCGCGGCAGAUUAGUUAGCUGGCAGGGUAAUGGCCUACCAAGACGGUGAUCUGUA